AAUAAAUUAACAAAAACAAGCCCUCACCAGGGGCCAAGAAAAAAAUUUUUUUACUGGCUUACAUCUGUUUUAUAAACUAAAAUGGUUACAUUUACUUAAUGUAAAUUCAGUAAUGGCCCCAUAGCUCGUAAGUGAUGACACCAGGGUUAGAACCCGUAUCUGGGUUCAAAUAAAUUAGGUCCUAACCUCUACUGUCACGGGUAGUCUUUGUGAUGAGACAAAAUCGAAGGGAAAAAAGUACUGUAAAGCUACAGUUUUUAUGUGUCUGAAGGUCAUCCAUAUAACAAAGAUGACAGUACAGUUAUGUCUGGAGGUUCCGUGGAUGGGGUCGUGGGUUGGCAUGGUCAGAAAGUACAGGCGUAUCUAACUGAUGAACUGUCCUGGCCUUCUGGGCGGCUACACUUGGUCCUGCCAAAAUCCCUUGGAUUUCUGCCAUCAGAAAGGAAGGGCCUGACAGUUGAAUGAUGUGUCUUCCUUCUCACCUAAGCUCUUGGGCCGCUCCAGUCCCCCCGCUGCUCUGAAGCAGCGCUGUGUCUGCUGGUGACAGCACAGCUUGCCAACCACUGGUGCUGGGCACAGCGGCCUUUUGAUUCGAGGACAUAAAGCAAGGGACACGGAGAGUGUUCCUCUGGGCUCGACUGGUGUCACUGCAGGAGUGGAGGUUAAGGUUGGAGGGACAGAGGUGUCACGUGUUUGUUAAUAAACUUCUCUCGUGUGUGACGUGUAAGACCCUCAAAAGCCCAUGCCCCUGGCAGGCCCCCUCCUGCCUGGCAUCAGGCCAGGACUGAUGAGUCCCAUGGCUGUUUCAACACAUGACCUUCCUCUUCAGAAGGUCAGCUAUCAGCUGCUUCUUUGCAGGGUGGCGGCCUCGUGAUCCGGAGGUCUUGGGUAAAAAAGCUUUCAGAGACAAGGCUGUUUUGAGAAUUGCAGAAAUUGGAACCGAGGGGUUUGGGAUGUCCAGUGCUUAUUUCAACAAGCUGACCCGUCUCUAUGGUUGCACAGAACCCAGGGAGAGCGCUGAGUCGUGCAGACAAAAAGCUGCAAAUGGUCAGAGUUUAAGGCAGUUGUCGGUGUGGGCUUCAAGUGAACAGAUUUGGGGGCAAGCCUGGGUAUUCGGAGGGCCUGAUGAAGCCGAGAUUACCCGGUGCCCCGAGCCCCCCGUAUGCUAGAGUUUGAGGCACCGCAUUUAUGGAUGGGCUGUUUCUGCUGCACAUCUGAGAGCCAUCUCGCUGCCCGGCAGACACCAUGCUGGCCUCAUCUCGUCAAAUAUCUCGCAGCCGCAGAAUGGCCGCUAACACCAGCAUCCGUGCAGGGAGGUGACGUGCAGACCCGUGCGCAGAUUUUUAAGCGAAAGCUUAAUACAGCGUUUGCAGAGCUCCGGAAGGCCCACAGAGCCUGGACGGUCCCCCAGCAUCAGGGCGCCAAGGGCUGGCCACGUGGGGCUGGGGAACCGCCCAUCUCCUGGCCCCCGAGGGCAGCUCCUCGGGCUGAAACGCCGCCUUCUGAGUUCUGCCUGCACGUGGCUUUCCUUCCGGUCCUCAUACUGACCGCUGGCCCCGUGAGAGCACAUCUGCAGCAACUGCCGUCGAGAAGCCCACGGGAAGAGCUCACUGUGUGUGUCCCGAGACAGGGUCCUCCAGAAGUUUCCCGAAGUGUGAGGUGCGCGAAUCUGGAGGCUCUGGGACAAAGCCAGCAUCUCAUUGAAUCUUUUUCCGAUUCUCAUUCUUCCAAGUCUUCUGAGGACUUUCUGGAUCCUCAAGGGGAACGUCUGGGACACGGGUUCGAGCCCUGGUCCGGAAAGAUCCCACAUGCUACGGAACAACUAAGCCCGUGCGCCACAACUACUGAGCCUGCGCGCCACAACUACUGAAGCCUGCGCACCUAGAGCCCGUGCUCCGCAAUAAGAGAAGCCUCCACAGUGAGAAGCCCGCGCACCACAACAAGAGUAGCCACUGCGUACCUCAACUAGAGAAAGCCCGCGCGCAGCAACGAAGAGCCAACGCAGCCAAGAAUAAAUAAAUAAACUUAUU